rnacentral:tRNA from 1 species
GGGCUAGUGGUCUAGGGGUUAUGACGUUGCCCUUACGAGGCAAAGGUCGCCGGUUCGAUUCCGGCCUAGCCCAUCA